rnacentral:rRNA from 1 species
CCUACGGGUGGCAGCAGUGAGGAAUAUUGGUCAAUGGACGAGAGUCUGAACCAGCCAAGUAGCGUGAAGGAUGACUGCCCUAUGGGUUGUAAACUUCUUUUAUAUGGGAAUAAAAUGUUCCACGUGUGGGAUUUUGUAUGUACCAUAUGAAUAAGGAUCGGCUAACUCCGUUCCAGCAGCCGCGGUAAUACGGAGGAUCCGGGCGUUAUCCGGAUUUAUUGGGUUUAACGGGAGCGUAGGUGGAUUGUUAAGUCAGUUGUGAAAGUUUGGGGCUCAACCGUAAAAUUGCAGUUGAUACUGGCAGUCUUGAGUACAGUAGAGGUGGGCGGAAUUCGUGGUGUAGCGGUGAAAUGCUUAGAGAUCACGAAGAACUCCGAUUGCGAAGGCAGUUCACUGGACUGCAACUGACACUGAGGCUCGAAAGUGUGGGUAUCAAACAGGAUUAGAUACCCGGGUAGUC